rnacentral:rRNA from 1 species
AGAGCUUGCUCUGGUGAGAGUGGCGCACGGGUGAGUAACGCGUGGAUAACCUGCCCUGGUAUCUGGAAUAACGUCUCGAAAGGGGUGCUAAUACCGGAUAAGCCUACGGAGCCUUCGGUCUCUGCAGGAAAAGGUGGCCUCUAUUUAUAAGCUACCGUAUCAGGAUGGGUCCGCGUACCAUUAGCUAGUUGGUAGGGUAAUGGCCUACCAAGGCUACGAUGGUUAGCUGGUCUGAGAGGAUGAUCAGCCACACUGGAACUGAGACACGGUCCAGACUCCUACGGGAGGCAGCAGUGGGGAAUUUUGCGCAAUGGGGGAAACCCUGACGCAGCAACGCCGCGUGAGUGAUGAAGGCUUUCGGGUCGUAAAGCUCUGUCAGUAGGGAAGAAAUGAGACGUGCUAAUACCACGUUUUCUUGACGGUACCUACAAAGGAAGCACCGGCUAACUCCGUGCCAGCAGCCGCGGUAAUACAAGGGCG